rnacentral:snRNA from 1 species
AUCGCUUCUCGGCCUUUUGGCUCAGAUCAAGUGUAGUAUCUGUUCUUAUCAGUUUAAUAUCUGAUACGUCCCCAUCGGGGACUACAUAUUAAAUGGAUUUUUCGAACAGGGAGUCGGAAAUGGGGCUUGCUCCGUCCGCUCCACGCAUCGACCCGGUAUUGCAGUACCUCCGGGAAUGGUGCAACACUU